rnacentral:tRNA from 1 species
GUCGCAAUAGUACAGUGGUAGUACAGCAGAUUGUGAGUCUGUGGACAAGGGUUCGAUUCCCUUUUGUGACU